AUACGUAGGUGGCGAGCGUUGUCCGGAUUUACUGGGCGUAAAGGGCGUGUAGGCGGUCUUGCAAGUCAGAAGUGAAAUUCCUGAGCUCAACUCGGGCGCUGCUUCUGAAACUGCAGGACUUGAGUGCUGGAGGGGAUAGCGGAAUUCCUAGUGGAGCGGUAAAAUGCGCAGAUAUUAGGAAGAACACCGGUGGCGAAGGCGGCUAUCUGGACAGUAACUGACGCUGAGGCGCGAAAGCGUGGGGAGCAAACAGGAUUAGAUACCCUGGUAGUCCACACUGUAAACGAUGAAUACUAGGUGUGCGGGGACUGACCCCCUGCGUGCCGGCGUUAACACAAUAAGUAUUCCACCUGGGGAGUACGAUCGCAAGGUUGAAACUCAAAUGAAUUGACGGGG
rnacentral:rRNA from 1 species